UCCAAAAUGUAAUGUGUGUAUGACAGGUGGGACAAUAUAUUAAUAAUAUAGUAAGCAACUAUUGUAUGAAUUAGCUAUUAGAUUGACUAUAGAUAAAUUGGAGCUAGUAGUGGACUAUACUAUUAUUUGCUCUAACUAGUACUAUUCGGCUUAACCCCGGCAAGGUGACGUACACAGUGAUGGAUGACCUCACCGUCGCGCCGUCGUCCACCGUCUCCGCCAUCGCCGCCCUCGUGGCGCUUGGCGUGAUGGACAUCAGGGAAUUGUAGGAGAAGACCGUCGAGGUCGGCUACUUACAGUUUCCACUUUCCAGCAUGGAUUUGCGCUGAGAAAGAACUGAUGGGUGAGGCCGCUUGCAAAUGCAAGAGGUAACUGGCUUCUUUGGUCACUGGGUUCAAGGCUUCAAGCUGGCCAGCUCUGCAUGCAUCACGGAGGCAGCGGAGGUGGCGUGGUCGAACGGCAGCGGGUUAAGAGUGAGCCGGAGGCCCCGCCAUCGGGUUGACUGCCGGCCGUCCUGCCACCACCAACUCCGUUGUCUCCGCCUCCGAUCUCCGGCGACGAGCGGCUCGGCGAUGAGGUGAGGUCGCGGUGGUGGCGGAAGGGUCGAGGGGGCGGUGCGACCGGCCAUGGUGGCAGAAGCGGCAAGGAGGAUAUCGAGGAGACGAUGCGAGCGGUUGAUCGCAGAGGCGGUAAAGGAAGCCGGCGACAAGCAGGGUGGCGUUGAGCCGAGCUGAUCCCCGCGGAUGUAGCGACGGCGUGGACCUCCGCCGCCGUCCCUACUCGUCUAUAUGAGGCAGCGCUAGCUGGUGAGCAGGCGCGUAUCAAGGCCCCGCGCGGGCCGUCAAGCUCCAGGACCAGCGCGGAGGUAUCCCCUAUGGCGCUCUCUAUCUCAGCGGGCUCCCUCCAAUGUCGUCUACAACUCCGUCGUCGGAUCCUUCGCUUCCCCCGUAUCGUCUAGGCGCAUCGUCGCCUCGCACGGAUCAAGGCAGGGCGGGGCCAAGGAGCACCAGGUCAAUCGAGCUCGAGCUCAUCGUCCCCGUAUUUGCCAUCUACGCGACGGCAUGGUGAUUAGGAAAGGGGAAUACUGUAUAUUGUUCUUGCUGGAUUUUUUUUUUUCUGAUUCUGGGUCUUUUUUCAUAUACUCUGGACUGUUCUAGAUAAGAUUGUGCAUUUUGUUAAAAA